rnacentral:tRNA from 1 species
GGUGUAGCCAAGUGGUAAGGCAUCGGACUCUGACUCCGACAUUCGUAAGUUCGAAUCUUACUAUC